rnacentral:rRNA from 1 species
GAUGAACGCUGGCGGCGUGCCUAAUACAUGCAAGUCGAGCGAACAGACGAGGAGCUUGCUCCUCUGACGUUAGCGGAGGACGGGUGAGUAACACGUGGAUAACCUACCUAUAAGACUGGGAUAACUUCGGGACAGCGGCGCUAAUACCGGAUAAUCUAUUGCACCGCAUGGUUCAAUAGUGAAAGACGGUUUUGCUGUCACUUCUAGCUGGAUCCGCGCCGCAUUAGCUAGUUGGUAAGGUCACGGCUUAUCAAGGCAACGAUGCGUAGCCGACCUGAGAGGGUGAUCGGCCACACUGGAGCGGAGACGCGGUCCAGACGCCUGCGGGACGCAGCAGUAGGGAAUCUUCCGCAAUAGGCGAAAGCCUGACGGAGCAACGCCGCGUGAGUGAUGAAGGUCUUCGGAUCGUAAAACUCUGUUAUUAGUUAAGAACAAAUGUGUAAGUAACUAUGCACGUCUUGACGGUACCGAAUCAGAAAGCCACGGCUAACUACGUG